CCAUAGUAGCGGCGAGCGAAAUGGGAAGAGGCCAAACGAUCAUGCUUGCAUGAUCGGGUUGUAGGACUCAAGAAUGGACGAUUGUUGUUAGUUGAACACGUUGGAGAGCGUGGCCAAAGAAGGUGACAGCCCUGUAGGUGAAAACAACAUGAACCAAUGAGGAUCCUGAGUACGGCGGAACACGAGAAAUUCCGUCGGAAUCAGCCGGGACCAUCCGGCAAGCCUAAAUACUACCUAGUGACCGAUAGUGAACCAGUACCGUGAGGGAAAGGUGAAA
rnacentral:rRNA from 1 species